AGGUAGUGGAAGUGUGGGCCGGAAAUUAACUGUCAAAUGACGAGGCUUAGUUUGUGCCUGUGUGGCUUUAAGCAAGACGGGAAAUAAAACCCGGCUCUCUUUAGAGAGUAACAGGUGUUUAAAAGACAUCUCAGCUCUUGUCUCCAUCCAUUUUCAUUCUGACCCUGCACCGUCCCCCAUGACUCCUGACACUGAAGACGCCCUGCUCCUUCCCUCUUCCGUCCUUUGGCUCAGCAGGGCCCUUGCAACUUUGUGGUAAUGAAGACAGGGUGAACUGACCUGCCAGGCUGCCCAGGACUUUAUCUUGGAUGAGGGUGUCCAUCUUUACUCUCGAAGCACGGAAACUCUGUUCCUUUUUCAGACACUCCUCCCAGACACUCCGCUGACAGAAAGGGGACUGAGAGGGGACUCUGCUUGAUAAACACCUGUGUGUGCCCUGUUCAGUGGAACUGGAACUGGGGGAGGAACAAGCCUGUUAUGAUACCCGCUCUGCUGGAAUGUGACCCACACACACAUUACCCUUGUAACAAGUUGACAAAAGAACAUCAUCAACAGUAACAUCAACAACAAUAAUAACAUCAACAACUACAACAACAGCAACAACAGCAACAACAACAGUAACAGCAUCAACAACAGCAACAGCAACUACUACUACUACCACCACCAGCACUCAGGGCCUCAUGUAGCCCAGGCUAGCCUCAACUUUACUAUGUAGCUGAGGAUGACCUUGAAUGUCUCAUCUUCCUACCUCCUGGAAUACUGGGAUAUACGUGUGCACCAUCAGGCCUGGUUCAUGCGGACUGGAGGAAGAUGCACGUCAGAGCCUAGUGUGUGCUAGGCUAGCACUAUUCUAACUGAGCUACACCCCUAACCCUGAUUGCAAAUGUUCCUCCGCAUUUUAUUAGCCAUCUCUUCACCUUCCUGCUGCUGUCCUUCAAGACA